rnacentral:lncRNA from 1 species
UUUAGUGUUUAGUAUUUGUGUGUGUGUGUGUGUGUGUGUGUGUGUGUGUGUGUGUGUGUGUGUGUGUGUGUGUGUGUGUUUGUCACGAGAUUGCCCUCGAAUGCGAUAUUAAAGUAAAAUCAAAUGUCAUCCAUUCACAUUUUUACUGUCAUUAUCGGAAAUUCAGACGAAACAGGAGGAAAAGGAGGAGAAAAGAAAGUAGAGGAGCGAGAGAGGGGGGUUGGGGAGAAGUGGAUAGAGAGUGAGAGAGAGAGAAAGACAGAGAGAUAGCACGCUCAUGAAAAGAAACACAUCACAUUCUUCCACAAUUUCCAUCUCUGAGCCCGCAUUCAUCAUCUAUGUUUAUGAAAUGUUUAUUAGCAAGAAACAUACCAUAUUACCGAGGGAAGGCGAAGGAAGCUGGAAGAACACUUCGAUGCUUAUUCUUUCCGAUAAUAGUUAUACUAACUAUUAUAAAUUUAUACAUGUGUGUAUAUUUAACAAAGGAAAGAGUGAGAAUUUCCCUAUCUUAUAAUAGUCUUAUAUUAACCCCUGGAGUCAAUAUAUAAAUAUCCUUUUCCUUUUCCUACGGCAUCUGAAUGUCUGAAUAUAGUGUCGGGUGUAAAGUGUGUAUCUGAACGCAUUAAUUUUUUUCUUUUACUCGUUUGAUACCUUAGAUUAUGAGUUUUCAUUAAGAAAAAAAAUAAAUAAGAUUCCUUUAUUUUUUACUGUGUUUACUCAUUAUCACAUCUGAAACAAGCCCAUUGUGUGCAGUAUCAUCUUUCGUGUUUCUUUGUUUGUUUUUGUUUCAGUUCCGGCGAAGGCGACGACGAGGACGAGCUUUGGUCCUCCGAUGAUGACCCCGAUUGGGUGCCCGAAGGAACCAGCCAGGAAGAGACUUCCAUCGAAGACAAUCAGAACAGCAAAGAGGAAAAAAUUGGAGAGCUCGAUCUAGAACGA